rnacentral:misc_RNA from 1 species
UCCCUGUUACCAGAGCAGUCUAGCUAGAGAAAUUCAACUAACUAUAAGGGUUGCGCUCGUUGAUGGACUUAACCAAACAUCUCACGACACGAGCUGACGACGGCCAUGCAACACCUGUCACUUGGCUCAAUAAAGCACUCUCUGCUUUCGCAGAAAUUCCAAGGAUGUCAAGCCUGGGUAAGGUUCUUCGCUUAUCAUCGAAUUAAACAACACGCUCCACCGCUUGUGCGGGUCCCCGUCAAUUCCUUUAUGUUUUAGUCUUGCGACCGUACUCCACAGGCGGGGUGCUUAACGCGUUAGCUUCGCUACGUCGCGGGUCGAUACGCGGCACAGCUAGCACCCAUCGUUUACAGCGUGGACUAC